rnacentral:rRNA from 1 species
CACAUGCAAGUCGAAUGGUAACAGGAAACAGCUUGCUGUUUCGCUGACGAGUGGCGGACGGGUGAGUAAUGUCUGGGAAACUGCCUGAUGGAGGGGGAUAACUACUGGAAACGGUAGCUAAUACCGCAUAACGUCGCAAGACCAAAGAGGGGGACCUUCGGGCCUCUUGCCAUCAGAUGUGCCCAGAUGGGAUUAGCUAGUAGGUGGGGUAACGGCUCACCUACGCGACGAUCCCUAGCUGGUCUGAGAGGAUGACCAGCCACACUGGAACUGAGACACGGUCCAGACUCCUACGGGAGGCAGCAGUGGGGAAUAUUGCACAAUGGGCGCAAGCCUGAUGCAGCCAUGCCGCGUGUAUGAAGAAGGCCUUCGGGUUGUAAAGUACUUUCAGCGGGGAGGAAGGGAGUAAAGUUAAUACCUUUGCUCAUUGACGUUACCCGCAGAAGAAGCACCGGCUAACUCCGUGCCAGCAGCCGCGGUAAUACGGAGGGUGCAAGCGUUAAUCGGAAUUACUGGGCGUAAAGCGCACGCAGGCGGUUUGUUAAGUCAGAUGUGAAAUCCCCGGGCUCAACCUGGGAACUGCAUCUGAUACUGGCAAGCUUGAGUCUCGUAGAGGGGGGUAGAAUUCCAGGUGUAGCGGUGAAAUGCGUAGAGAUCUGGAGGAAUACCGGUGGCGAAGGCGGCCCCCUGGACGAAGACUGACGCUCAGGUGCGAAAGCGUGGGGAGCAAACA